CGUACACUCCUACGGGAGGCAGCAGUGGGGAAUAUUGGACAAUGGGCGCAAGCCUGAUCCAGCCAUGCCGCGUGAGUGAUGAAGGCCCUAGGGUUGUAAAGCUCUUUCACCGGUGAAGAUAAUGACGGUAACCGGAGAAGAAGCCCCGGCUAACUUCGUGCCAGCAGCCGCGGUAAUACGAAGGGGGCUAGCGUUGUUCGGAUUUACUGGGCGUAAAGCGCACGUAGGCGGACUAUUAAGUCAGGGGUGAAAUCCCGGGGCUCAACCCCGGAACUGCCUUUGAUACUGGUAGUCUUGAGUUCGAGAGAGGUGAGUGGAAUUCCGAGUGUAGAGGUGAAAUUCGUAGAUAUUCGGAGGAACACCAGUGGCGAAGGCGGCUCACUGGCUCGAUACUGACGCUGAGGUGCGAAAGCGUGGGGAGCAAACAGGAUUAGAUACCCGGGUAGUCCC
rnacentral:rRNA from 1 species